GCCGGGCGCACCGGUGCACACCUGUGAUCCCAUCAACUCGGAGGCUGAGGCAGGAGAAUCGCAAGUGCCAAGCCAGCCUCAGCAACUUAGUGAGACCCUAAGCAGCUGAAUGAGACCCUGUCUCAA
rnacentral:sRNA from 1 species